GCUUUAAUAAUUUAAACUAUAAAAUAAUGAUUUUGUAAGUCAUAAAUGAAAAUUUUUCUUAAAGCU
rnacentral:tRNA from 1 species